rnacentral:rRNA from 1 species
GAUGAACGCUGGCGGCGUGCUUAACACAUGCAAGUCGAACGAUGAAGCCCAGCUUGCUGGGUGGAUUAGUGGCGAACGGGUGAGUAACACGUGAGUAACCUGCCCUUAACUCUGGGAUAAGCCUGGGAAACUGGGUCUAAUACCGGAUAGGAGCGUCCACCGCAUGGUGGGUGUUGGAAAGAUUUAUCGGUUUUGGAUGGACUCGCGGCCUAUCAGCUUGUUGGUGAGGUAAUGGCUCACCAAGGCGACGACGGGUAGCCGGCCUGAGAGGGUGACCGGCCACACUGGGACUGAGACACGGCCCAGACUCCUACGGGAGGCAGCAGUGGGGAAUAUUGCACAAUGGGCGCAAGCCUGAUGCAGCGACGCCGCGCGAGGGAUGACGGCCUUCGGGUUGUAAACCUCUUUCAGUAGGGAAGAAGCGAAAGUGACGGUACCUGCAGAAGAAGCACCGGCUAACUACGUG